rnacentral:rRNA from 1 species
GACGAACGCUGGCGGCGUGCUUAACACAUGCAAGUCGAACGGAAAGGCCCUGCUUUUGUGGGGUGCCCGAGUGGCGAACGGGUGAGUAACACGUGAGUAACCUGCCCUUGACUUUGGGAUAACUUCAGGAAACUGGGGCUAAUACCGGAUAGGAGCCCCUGCUGCAUGGUGGGGGUUGGAAAGUUUCGGCGGUUGGGGAUGGACUCGCGGCUUAUCGGCUUGUUGGUGGGGUAGUGGCUUACCAAGGCUUUGCCGGGUAGCCGGCCUGAGAGGGUGACCGGCCACAUUGGGACUGAGAUACGGCCCAGACUCCUACGGGAGGCAGCAGUGGGGAAUAUUGCACAAUGGGCGGAAGCCUGAUGCAGCAACGCCGCGUGCGGGAUGACGGCCUUCGGGUUGUAAACCGCUUUCGCCUGUGACGAAGCGUGAGUGACGGUAAUGGGUAAAGAAGCACCGGCUAACUACGUG